rnacentral:rRNA from 1 species
GAAUAUUGGACAAUGGGCGCAAGCCUGAUCCAGCCAUGCCGCGUGAGUGAAGAAGGCCCUAGGGUUGUAAAGCUCUUUCAGCGGGGAAGAUAAUGACGGUACCCGCAGAAGAAGCCCCGGCUAACUUCGUGCCAGCAGCCGCGGUAAUACGAAGGGGGCUAGCGUUGUUCGGAAUUACUGGGCGUAAAGCGCGCGUAGGCGGAUUGUUAAGUCAGGGGUGAAAUGCCGAGGCUCAACCUCGGAACUGCCCUUGAUACUGGCAAUCUGGAGUUCGGGAGAGGUGAGUGGAAUUCCGAGUGUAGAGGUGAAAUUCGUAGAUAUUCGGAGGAACACCAGUGGCGAAGGCGGCUUACUGGUCCGGUACUGACGCUGAGGUGCGAAAGCGUGGGGAGCAAACAGG